AUUGAACGCUGGCGGCAGGCUUAACACAUGCAAGUCGAACGGUAACAUAAAGAAGCUUGCUUCUUUUGAUGACGAGUGGCGGACGGGUGAGUAAUGCUUGGGAAUCUAGCUUAUGGAGGGGGAUAACUACGGGAAACUGUAGCUAAUACCGCGUAAUAUCGAGAGAUUAAAGUGUGGGACCUUCGGGCCACAUGCCAUAAGAUGAGCCCAAGUGGGAUUAGGUAGUUGGUGAGGUAAAGGCUCACCAAGCCGACGAUCUCUAGCUGGUCUGAGAGGAUGACCAGCCACACUGGGACUGAGACACGGCCCAGACUCCUACGGGAGGCAGCAGUGGGGAAUAUUGCGCAAUGGGGGCAACCCUGACGCAGCCAUGCCGCGUGAAUGAAGAAGGCCUUCGGGUUGUAAAGUUCUUUCGGUAGUGAGGAAGGCAUUUAGUUUA
rnacentral:rRNA from 1 species